AGCUAAACUAACCCUUUUCCAGGCCAGUGCCAGCAAGUACCUCCUACCAUUAAACCUCUCACUGGUUCACUGGCUAUACACAAGCCCCACGCUCUCUGAAAGUGAAAGUUUUAUGCUUGUCAAAGGAGCUCAAGGUUUGUUCCAUUCUUUCUCCAAAGUCUUCCCCUAACUCGACUCCACUCCAUCAAACUCUAUUAGUAAAGAAAUCACUACAGUUAGUCUUUAGUCAUUGUGUUCCCUAAUGCUGUGUGUUUAUUGUAAUGGCUUUCAACAAGAGAGUGUAUUAUUCUUUUAUUGCCAAUGGCUGUUUUUUAUUUUAGCAUAACCAAUUAAGAGACUAUAUAUACAUUAUGUGCUCAAGAAUAUUUUGAUAAUUCACAUCUUUAGUGCAAAUAGCCUAAAAAUUCCUUGACUUCAUUGAUUCACCACUACAUAUCCUCUAUCUUCUCUCUCUCUCUCUCUCUCUCUCUGUGUAUAUGUAAUGUCUGGCAUUUAAAAUUUGUAAUAGAAUCAUCUUGUAAUUCACUAUAUUAUUGUAACCUUCAUUGUAUUGUAA